rnacentral:hammerhead_ribozyme from 1 species
CUUUAGCUGAGAAGUCCCAAAUGAGACGAAACGUACGUCUUGAAU